rnacentral:rRNA from 1 species
CCUACGGGGGGCUGCAGUGGGGAAUAUUGGACAAUGGGGGGAACCCUGAUCCAGCCAUGCCGCGUGUGUGAAGAAGGCCCUCGGGUUGUAAAGCACUUUCAGUGAGGAAGAACGCCUGGUGGUUAAUACCCAUCAGGAAAGACAUCACUCACAGAAGAAGCACCGGCUAACUCCGUGCCAGCAGCCGCGGUAAUGCGGAGGGUGCGAGCGUUAAUCGGAAUUACUGGGCGUAAAGCGCGCGUAGGUGGCUUGAUAAGCCGGUUGUGAAAGCCCCGGGCUCAACCUGGGAACGGCAUCCGGAACUGUCAAGCUAGAGUGCAGGAGAGGAAGGUAGAAUUCCCGGUGUAGCGGUGAAAUGCGUAGAGAUCGGGAGGAAUACCAGUGGCGAAGGCGGCCUUCUGGACUGACACUGACACUGAGGUGCGAAAGCGUGGGUAGCAAACAGGAUUAGAUACCCCUGUAGUC